UUGGAGGGCAAGUCUGGUGCCAGCAGCCGCGGUAAUUCCAGCUCCAAUAGCGUAUGUUAAAGUUGUUGCAGUUAAAAAGCUCGUAGUUGAAUUUCGGGAUCAGAGUGUCGGUCGUGCCUCGGUACGCACUGGUAUUAUUGGUUCCUACCUUCUGAAGAACCGCGAUGUCAUUAAUUUGGUGUCGUGGGGAAUCAGGACUGUUACUUUGAAAAAAUUAGAGUGUUUAAAGCAGGCUUACGCUUGAAUACAUUAGCAUGGAAUAAUGAAAUAGGACGUUUGAUUCUAUUUUGUUGGUUUCUAGGAUUGACGUAAUGAUUAAUAGGGAUAGUUGGGGGCAUUAGUAUUCAAUUGUCAGAGGUGAAAUUCUUGGAUUUAUUGAAGACUAACUACUGCGAAAGCAUUUGCCAAGGAUGUUUUCAUUAAUCAAGAACGAAAGUUAGGGGAUCGAAGACGAUCAGAUACCGUCGUAGUCUUAACCAUAAACUAUGCCGACUAGGGAUCGGAUGAUGUUAAUUUUUUAAUGACUCAUUCGGCGCCUUACGGGAAAC
rnacentral:rRNA from 1 species